GACGAACGCUGGCGGCGUGCUUAACACAUGCAAGUCGAACGGAAAGGCCCUGCUUGCAGGGUACUCGAGUGGCGAACGGGUGAGUAACACGUGGGUGAUCUGCCCUGCACUUCGGGAUAAGCCUGGGAAACUGGGUCUAAUACCGGAUAGGAGCCAUUUUUAGUGUGAUGGUUGGAAAGUUUUUUCGGUGUAGAAUGAGCUCGCGGCCUAUCAGCUUGUUGGUGGGGUAAUGGCCUACCAAGGCGGCGACGGGUAGCCGGCCUGAGAGGGUGGACGGCCACAUUGGGACUGAGAUACGGCCCAGACUCCUACGGGAGGCAGCAGUGGGGAAUAUUGCACAAUGGGCGCAAGCCUGAUGCAGCGACGCCGCGUAGGGGAUGACGGCCUUCGGGUUGUAAACUCCUUUCGCUAGGGACGAAGCUUUUUGUGACGGUACCUAGAUAAGAAGCACCGGCUAACUACGUG
rnacentral:rRNA from 1 species